UACGUAGGGGGCAAGCGUUGUCCGGAAUCAUUGGGCGUAAAGCGCGUGUAGGCGGUUCGAUAAGUCUGCUGUGAAAGUCCAGGGCUCAACCCUGGAAUGCGGGUGGAUACUGCCGGGCUAGAGUCCGGAAGAGGCGAGUGGAAUUCCUGGUGUAGCGGUGGAAUGCGCAGAUAUCAGGAGGAACACCAAUAGCGAAGGCAGCUCGCUGGGACGGUACUGACGCUAAGGCGCGAAAGCGUGGGGAGCAAACAGG
rnacentral:rRNA from 1 species